rnacentral:rRNA from 1 species
GACGAACGCUGGCGGCGUGCUUAACACAUGCAAGUCGAACGGAAAGGCCCUGCUUUUGUGGGGUGCUCGAGUGGCGAACGGGGGAGUGACACGUGAGUAACCUGCCCUUGACUUUGGGAUAACUUCAGGAAACUGGGGCUAAUACCGGAUAGGAUCUCCUGCUGCAUGGUGGGGGGUGGAAAGUUUCGGCGGUUGGGGAUGGACUCGCGGCUUAUCAGCUUGUUGGUGGGGUAGGGGCUUACCAAGGCUUUGAAGGGUAGCCGGCCUGAGAGGGUGAACGGCGACAUUGGGACUGAGAGACGGACCAGACUCCUACGGGAGGCAGCAGUGGGGAAUAUUGCACAGUGGGCGGAAGCCUGAUGCAGAAACGCCGCGUGCGGGAUGACGGCCUUCGGGUUGUAAACCGCUUUCGCCUGUGACGAAGCGUGAGUGACGGUAAUGGGUAAAGAAGCACCGGCUAACUACGUG